GGGGCUGAUUCUGGAUUCGACGGGAUUUGCGAAACCCAAGGUGCAUGCCGAGGGGCGGUUGGCCUCGUAAAAAGCCGCAAAAAAAUAGUCGCAAACGACGAAAACUACGCUUUAGCAGCUUAAUAACCUGCUUAGAGCCCUCUCUCCCUAGCCUCUGCUCUUAGGACGGGGAUCAAGAGAGGUCAAACCCAAAAGAGAUCGCGCGGAUGCCCUGCCUGGGGUUGAAGCGUUAAAACGAAUCAGGCUAGUCUGGUAGUGGCGUGUCCGUCCGCAGGUGCCAGGCGAAUGUAAAGACUGACUAAGCAUGUAGUACCGAGGAUGUAGGAAUUUCGGACGCGGGUUCAACUCCCGCCAGCUCCACCA
rnacentral:tmRNA from 4 species